AUGAUUUGGAUGAGAAAAAAGAAGCAGUAUGGUGAUGAUACUCAGGGUGGCAUGGGGAUCAUUGCAUUUCGAUACGCCGAUUUACAGUAUGCAACAAAAAAGUUCUCAGAGAAGUUGGGGGCCGGCGGUUUUGGUUCAGUGUUCAAGGGUUCGCUGAGUGACUCGACAGCCAUAGCAGUGAAAAGGCUUGAUGGAGUCCGCCAAGGGGAGAGGCAAUUCAGGGCUGAGAUGAGCUCAACCGGAGUCGUCCAGCAUGUCAACUUGGUUAAACUGAUUGGCUUUUGCUGCCAAGGUGACAGGAGGUUGCUUGUGUACGAGUAUAUGCCCAAUGGCUCCCUGGAUCACCAUCUCUUCCAAAGAAAUGGCAUGGUGUUGGAUUGGGCCAUCAGACACAAAAUAACCCUUGGCGUUGCUAGAGGACUAGCCUAUCUGCAUUCAAGUUGCCGGGGCUGCAUUAUACACUUUGAUAUCAAGCCAGAGAACAUACUUCUAGAUGGGUCUUUCACCCCUAAAGUUGCGGACUUUGGAAUGGCCAAAGUUUUGGGAAGGGAUUUCAGUCAGGUCGUUACCACAAUGAGGGGAACCAUUGGAUACCUUGCUCCUGAAUGGAUCAGCGGAACUGCAAUCACAUCAAAAGUUGAUGUUUACAGCUACGGGAUGGUUCUGUUAGAGAUUGUAUCGGGCAGCAGGAAGUCCAGCAAGCAAGCAUCCUCCCAAGAUGGUGCUCAUGAAGGAUAUUUUCCGGUGCAAGUUGCACGUAGUCUUGUUGAUAGGGACAUUGCAAGUCUGGUGGAUGCGAAGUUGCUGGGUGAUGUGAAUCUGGAGGAGCUUGAAAGAGUUUGCAAAGUCACAUGUUGGUGUAUUCAAGAUGAUGAGCUUGAUCGACCGACGAUGACUGAGGUGGUGCAGUUUCUCGACUGUCUGUCUGAAGUUGAGACACCUCCAGUACCAAGGUUACUUCAAGCUAUUGCAGGACAGCCAAAUCAGAAGAUAAUGUAG
rnacentral:rRNA from 1 species